rnacentral:lncRNA from 1 species
UUGGUGUUCUUGAGCUUGUUGCCGGAAAAGUUUGAAUUUUGGCCGGAAAAUGGGUUCCGCUAAAUCUGGGCAGUAGUGGUAUAUAUGAAUAGAAAGAGGAGAGAAAGGGGAGUAUGCUGGUGUGCUUGGUUUGAGCGGAGGUGGCUCGAAUCGCCGCCAUCGGCGGCGGGAAGUCGCCGACUUCGGCCGGAUUUUCCGGCGAAUUCGCGCGACUUCUGCCUAAUUAAAGAUGGGGGAUUGAUUUAUGGGUGUGUGUACUACUGAUCUGGAGUAGAUGGUGAGUGGAGGACGCCUGGAAACGAAUUUCCGGCGAGUUAGUGUGGUGGCCGGCGGCUUAUUGCUGUUUGGUCACCGAAGUUUUGAAGAUGAUGAAGUUUUUGUACUCAGGUUUUGAAACUUAUGAAUUACCCCCUGUAACUUUGAAAAGUUGCACUUUAAACCCUGGACAAAACUUUCAAAAGUUUACAAAAUAAACCUUUUGAUUUAAUUUUCUAAAAUUGUUUUAUUUAAUUAUUUUAAAUUCCAAAAAUAGUUUUUAAUUAUUUCUUUAUUCAAAAAUAAAUCUAAAUUAGUUUAUUAAUUAAUUUUAAUUAGUAAUUAAUUAUUUUAAUUGGUCAAUUAAUUUAAAUAUUAAUUGAUUAAUUAUUUUAAUUAAUUAUUAAUUGAUUUUAAUUGAUUAAUUAAUUGGAUUUAAUUAAUCCUUUUUGAUUUAAAAAUUCCGAAAAAUAGUUUCGAGCUUUAAAAUAUUUUUCCAAAUUAUUUUCAAGGCUCGAUAAUUGUUUAUGAAUGAUUUCAAGUCCAAUUUCAAGUAUUUGGGACUUGAUUAUUUAUUCGAAAAGUGAUUCUUUUAUCGAUUUUAAUUCCGAAAAAUGUUUAAAAAUUCUGGAAAAUUCCCGAAAAAUCAUUUUUAACCCAAGACUUGAUUUAAUAUCAAUUGGGAUGGGAAACCUUAUGUGUUGUGUGUUGUCUGCUAUUGGUUGGAUGUGUUAUGUGCCGAUAGGAGAGUGAGAAAACUGUUUUGAGCAUAACUUUUGAUCCGUAAGUCGGAAUCAAGUGAAACGAAAGAGAGACAGAAGCUUAUAACGUCUAUUUUAAUAUGAUGUGACUAUAUGGCUGAGUCUAUAAGGUGAAUAAUUGUUGAUAAGUAUGCAUAAUGUGAUAAUAUGUGAUCUAAGUGCUAUCAGGUGAUGAUUAUGUGAAGUACGUGUUAGUUUUGAUAUUGUGAAGUGAUAAAUGAUUCGUAUGAUUGAUAUUGGAUAAGAAUAUAUGGAUUAUAGCUAUUGGAUUUUGUUGGUUGAUUAAUGAUUGAGAUAGGAUAAUAGGUGGAUAGUCUUAUACAUAGACGAGACGAUGUCGGAUUUUCGAUAAGGAUUUAUAUGAUAAUUGAUUGGUGAUAUGUUAUGUGGAAUAUGAUUGACUAUAUGUUAGAGUCAAAGCAUGCUUAUGUGUUACGUGGUAUCUGAUAAGUUUAAAGGGAUAUAUAAGUGGGUAUCGAUAUACGUGAGAUGUAUAUGCGAUCGAUUGUUUAGUGAUUAUAGUGUUAUCUUAUUCUCGUAAAGGAUUUGGACGAGACGUGUAUGCCCGAAGACGUUCAGAAAGUCACGUGGUGUUACAAAGCGAAUAAGGGAUGAAUCGAGUAAGCGAAGCGAAGAUGUACGGUAGAUAGAGUAUAGCCAGAGAUGGUCUAGAGACUAUGAGAUGCAUAGAUUGUGAAAGUGGAAAGAUGAGAUUGAGAUGUGAGACUGGAGUCAGAUUUAAGGCAAGUAUCCUAAACCUUUCUCUUGGAUAUAUUGCAAAUAUUCUGAUCCAUUCCUUUGGUAUAUGUUUCAAGUAUUCAUACCUUUCUUUUCAAUGUUCGAAAGUGCGAGUAUUCUGACCCAUUCUUUCUAAUCUUCAAGUUUCUAAAGAAUUUCCGUUUUACAAAUUAAUUCGAAGUUCAGAUUGUCAUUGAAGCAUGUGUUGCUCAGUGAUAGUUAGAGCUUUGAAUGAAUUGGGAUCUUCUUGAUUAUUCAACCCGCCAUUGUCAUGCUGGUUUAGCAGGCUAAAUUCAGUUGCUUAGCCGAUAAUGGAGGAUACUGAAUAGUUGAGGAUUUCCUGAACUGUGAUUUAUGAAAUGAUGGAUCAUGAUUUAUGAAUAGAUUAUUAUCAAAGUUUGAAUUGGAAUUAUUCUGUUGUUGAUGAUAUUUAUGAUGAUGUUCUGUUAAUUUACAUUGGCUUCUUGAAUUGAAUUAGAGAAUUGGAUUAUUGUUUUUAUAUAAACCUGUGGACCAGAUUCGUGGUCAUGUUAGGCCAAUGAGUGCCUUGGAUCCAGUGAUAGAGCAUGGCGGGGCCUGCUCGGGGUUAGUGCGGAACUGAUCAGCUGCCUAACCUUGGUUUUAAUUAAAAUGUGAUAGUCCAAUUCAAUAAUUCUUUGGAAAGAUUGAAUUUCUCAGUUUAAAUGCUGCAAGGUAUUGUAAAUUAUUCUAUACAAUACCAUGAACUCAUGAACUCAGGUUGAAUCCUUUUAUAUCUUGAACUCGUGAACUUCUAUUAUAUCAUUUCAGAACUAUCAUUGUUUAUUAUUACUUGCUGAGCAUUGUUGCUCACCCUUGCUAUUCCUUUCUAACCAUUUCAGAAAGGCUUAAAGAUGAGAUGAUGGAUUGAGAUUGUGAAUAAGGCUAAUGCUAGGCGAGGAGACAGAGUUGAGGAUCCAGUGGUCGAGGAGUGUUCAGGAAAGUUGAUGAGGUUGGUGCAAGCUGGAAUAGUUGACAGUGAUUCUUCUUAUCGAAGAUGAUCUGAUUUGGUAAGAGAUGUUGUGUAAUAAUAGUGGUAGAUUCUAAUUUCAAUACUGUAACCUGGAAGCGAUCCUGUUGUUUUGGGGGUGAAGAUGUUCUCUUUUAAAUCUUUUAUUUAACGUCUUUCAAAUCUUUUAUUAAAUGUUUUCAAGUUUUAAAUUCUCUGAAUUUCACGUUUUAAAUUCUUUUGGGUUUAAUUAUCUUUAAUAAUAAAAAAAAAAAAUAUACAGGAUUUCAAAAGUGUUUAAAAAUAGGUUUUAUGUGGUGACGUCAGAAUCCAGACCCCCGGAUUCCUGGACUGUCACAGUUGGUAUCAGAGCGACAGGUUACAAGUUAUUGAAAUUUGAAUAUAGAUUAUAGUCUUAAGUUUUCUAGAGAAGAAUGUUGUGUGACCUCAUAUAGAGGUAUUGUGAGACUAUGUAGAAAUAGUAUAGAGAUGUGAUAGAGGUGUAGAAUCUGGUUGGACGAUCAAGUUGAGUGUAGAAGUUUAGAGAGAUUUUGAUUCUUAAGUUUAGACAUAGGAUUUCUAGUUUGUUGACAAAUUGAGAUGAUGAAUUGUGUGAAAGGUCAAGAUUAGACCUAGAUAGAAGAGUUUGAUAGUAAAUGAUUGAGUUGAGAAUGGUGAAAAUGCAGAGUUCAGAGUAUUCUGACUAUACUGCAUAGCUGAAAAUGGUCCAGUGUAUUGAUUUGAGAAUGAUAAAGAUGCAUGGUUCAUAGUAUGUUGACCAUGUCAGAUAUUUGGAAGAUGUAUAUGAUUUUAGUGAUAUAUGAAGAGUUAGUGUAGAAUAUGAGUUGUGUUGAAUCAGAAGGAGAGAUUUGUAGAUAGAGGUUGAUAGAUGAGAAGUGCAUGAUAGAGAGUAAGUGAAGUUGAUUCAGGUUAUUAGAAGCGAUAUUUGCGAGUAAUUUAGAAUGUUAAUUCUCACGACGACGUUUUAAGUUAAGCGGGACAAGGUGGGCCCAUAACCCACAGGGCGACAAUUCAGAAAAUCGAAGAUAUGCUACGUGUUGUGCUAUGGACUUCAAAGGCAACUGGAUGAAGCAUGAGAACGUGAACUACUUGGGCCAGACUUAUUACGAACGAUAACGUCUAUGAUGACAUUUUACGAAGCUAUUGCGAGUCAAAUCGAUUGAUUAUCAAGAACGUUGAAAAGAAAACAUAUAUCGAACAAUGAUUUAUUGAAGUAGAGUCGGAAUCUGAGAAGACCUUGGCAAUACCUCUUUUCAACUAAAGAUUCUUUUGAUUGUUUUCUCAUCAGUGAGAUAUUAUCAUGAUAUCUUUUCUACAAAAGUUUUGAUAAAUGAGAUCUUUAAUUUCUCAAAUUCUAAGAUGACAUUGAUAUUGAUUAUUGGUAUGAGUUGGAAAGCAAAGAUGUGUGGUGAAGGUUGUUGUGAAGAGAUAGUGAUGUUCCUUGAUAUUGUUUGAUAUUUCUUGACAUUCCUUGAUAUUCUUUCAUCAUCCUUGAUAUCCCUUGAUGUUCUUUGAUAUUCUCGAGAUUCUUUGAUAUUCUUUGAUAUUCCUUAACAUUUCUUCAAUUUGAUUGGGAUGAACAACCCUAUUUAUAGGGGACACAAGGUAUACCUGUCUGUGUGAUAGGAGUUGGAUGGGACGCCAUCACUUGUGUGUGUUGUGAUUACAAGAAGGUUAACAACCUUUAGUAGUGUCUAAUGUGGACACGCAACACCAAGUUCGUUGAUCAUGUAGAUCUCUCAGUCACUCCUUUAUUCAAAGGUGAUCUACCUUGAAAAUAUCUUGUUCCUCUGAAAUUUCCAAAGAUUGAUUCUUGGGAAAUGAAUUUUGCAAUUGUGAAAGUUGAUUCUCCAAUUUCUUUAAAGCUAAAGGUAUGCCAAGGCCGAUCAAGGGUGAAUGAUGAUACGUUAUUACGAAGCGUAUAGUGAAAUCUUAUAAAUGAUACGUUUUAGUUUUCUUCGCGGAUUCUGAGGACAGAAUCCUUAUAAGGGGGGUAGAAUGUAAUAUCCCAUGUUUUUAAAAUUAGUUGAUGAUUAUUAUAGAUCUAAUAUGUUGAUAUUAUUGUUGGCUUUAAUGGAAUAGUGAUAUGAUUAUGUGAAUAGUGUGAAUGUGAUUAUAUUUGUUAUUUGGAUUAAUAUGGAUUUUACAGAUUUUGCGUCCUCCUUCUUUUUCUGAUUCCGAGGACGGAAUCCCUAUAAGGAGGGUAGAUUGUAAUAACCCGGAUUUUAAAAAUAUUUUUAUUAAUAUUAUAAAUGAUUUUCUUAAAAAGAAAGGAAUAAGAUUUAAUAUUUUAUUCCAGUUUAAGGAGUUUUCAAAAUUUUAUAUUAAACCCCGGGUUAUUGUGUUAUUGAUAAAUGAUUAUAUUUUUAAAACUGAUUUUCAUAUAUUGUUUCGAAAAUUCUAGAUGAUUAUUAUGUGAAUAUAUGUGUGAUGUGAGUAAGUGGUAUUGGUGGAUUUGUUGGUUAAUUAAUUAUGGUUAAUUAUGAGUAUUAUAUGAUUAAUAUAUGAAUUUUUGUGAAUUUUAUAUUAUCUGGUUUAUUGCGUUAACUGCUCAUAUGUGUUCGUAUUUGAGAGAUUUCAAUUUCUAUAUGCUCAGGAGAAAAUAUAGUUUAUUUGGAUAUUUUCAUAUCGAUUUAUGGAAUGUUAGAUGAUUUUAUAAUCGAUUUACGGAUUUAAUUGCGUAUAUUUAUAUUUAUUUAUUAAUUAUUUGACUUCCGUAAAACCGUCCACUCGUAACGAGGUAGCAAAUUUUCUUCCCGGAAGUUUCAACAAAACUCACCUUUAGCCUAAUUUGAAUAUUCCGGACAUUUUUCGUGUUUUGACUUUUUCGAUCCGGAGUACGGUUUUCCCCGGAGUCGGUCCGGCGGAGUUUUUCGGGUAUUUUAAUUGUUGAUAAUUAUCCAGUUUGUCUCGAUAAGCGUGAAACGAGAUAUUUUGAUUAUUAUAUUCAUCCUUAUCUUGUAAUAAUUGCAAUGGGACCCGCAGACCAAUAAUUGAGUUAAAAAGCCCCGUUUUGAUGAUUAUCUCGAAAACCGGUACCGAUUGGACCCCGCUUUAUUAAUAUAAAGCUAUUAAAUACGUAUUUUCAUGUCAUAAACGAUCCAAAGGGGUACCAAUUAUUUGUAAAUAUAAAUAGACUUUCCUGUAACUUAUUUUCACCGUAGAAAUCAUUUCAACAGUUUCUCUGCACGAAUAUCGAGAGAAACCGAGCGGUGUUCUUCGUGUUCUUCAUAAUCAAACGAAGAUUUGAAGGUGUUAUUGGAAUCCGAUGGAGGCGUAUAAAUAGUCAAAACGAAGCUAUCGACGCGUAGAAUCAAGUUUAAUCAUCCGUUUAUAUGCAGAUUCAACAGGUGAUUUUAGAUUAUUUUUCUAAAAUUCGAGUUUAUAUGAUUUAAAUGAUGAAUUUUUGCAAACGAUUCCGUUUAUGUGAUUUGAUGAUUCUAUGAUGUAGAGCAUGUUUUUCUCGUCGUUUUGGUAUAUUAUAUGUCAAAAACGGAGUUCAAUAACAUGUAGAAAAGUCAGUUUGAUUAUUGAAAUUGUGUUCUUGGUGUUCUUGAGCUUGUUGCCGGAAAAGUUUGAAUUUUGGCCGGAAAAUGGGUUCCGCUAAAUCUGGGCAGUAGUGGUAUAUAUGAAUAGAAAGAGGAGAGAAAGGGGAGUAUGCUGGUGUGCUUGGUUUGAGCGGAGGUGGCUCGAAUCGCCGCCAUCGGCGGCGGGAAGUCGCCGACUUCGGCCGGAUUUUCCGGCGAAUUCGCGCGACUUCUGCCUAAUUAAAGAUGGGGGAUUGAUUUAUGGGUGUGUGUACUACUGAUCUGGAGUAGAUGGUGAGUGGAGGACGCCUGGAAACGAAUUUCCGGCGAGUUAGUGUGGUGGCCGGCGGCUUAUUGCUGUUUGGUCACCGAAGUUUUGAAGAUGAUGAAGUUUUUGUACUCAGGUUUUGAAACUUAUGAAUUACCCCCUGUAACUUUGAAAAGUUACACUUUAAACCCUGGACAAAACUUUCAAAAGUUUACAAAAUAAACCUUUUGAUUUAAUUUUCUAAAAUUGUUUUAUUUAAUUAUUUUAAAUUCCAAAAAUAGUUUUUAAUUAUUUCUUUAUUCAAAAAUAAAUCUAAAUUAGUUUAUUAAUUAAUUUUAAUUAGUAAUUAAUUAUUU